AGCGAACGCUGGCGGCAGGCUUAACACAUGCAAGUCGAACGCAUCCUUCGGGGUGAGUGGCAGACGGGUGAGUAACACGUGGGAACGUACCCUUCGAUCUGGGAUAACUUCGGGAAACUGGAGCUAAUACCGGAUACGCCCUUUUGGGGAAAGGUUUACUGUCGAAGGAUCGGCCCGCGUCUGAUUAGCUAGUUGGUGGGGUAACGGCCUACCAAGGCGACGAUCAGUAGCUGGUCUGAGAGGAUGAUCAGCCACACUGGGACUGAGACACGGCCCAGACUCCUACGGGAGGCAGCAGUGGGGAAUAUUGGACAAUGGGCGCAAGCCUGAUCCAGCCAUGCCGCGUGAGUGAUGAAGGCCUUAGGGUUGUAAAGCUCUUUUGUCCGGGACGAUAAUGACGGUACCGGAAGAAUAAGCCCCGGCUAACUUCAUG
rnacentral:rRNA from 1 species